rnacentral:rRNA from 1 species
GAAUAUUGCGCAAUGGGCGAAAGCCUGACGCAGCCACGCCGCGUGUGUGAUGAAGGCCUUCGGGUUGUAAAGCACUGUCGGGAGGGAAGAAGAAUGACGGUACCUCCCAAGAAAGCGCCGGCUAACCCUGUGCCAGCAGCCGCGGUAAUACAGGGGGCGCGAGCGUUGCUCGGAAUCACUGGGCGUAAAGCGAACGCAGGCGGACCGUUAAGUCGAAUGUGAAAGCCCGGGGCUCAACCUCGGAAGUGCAUUCGAAACUGGCGGUCUUGAGUACGGGAGAGGUGGGUGGAAUUCCUGGUGUAGAGGUGAAAUUCGUAGAUAUCAGGAGGAACACCGGUGGCGAAAGCGGCCCACUGGCCCGAUACUGACGCUCAUGUUCGAAAGCGUGGGGAGCAAACAG